AUUGAACGCUGGCGGCAUGCCUUACACAUGCAAGUCGAACGGCAGCACGGGAGCAAUCCUGGUGGCGAGUGGCGAACGGGUGAGUAAUGUAUCGGAACGUGCCUAGUCGUGGGGGAUAACGUAGCGAAAGCUACGCUAAUACCGCAUACGAUCUGUGGAUGAAAGCGGGGGACCUUCGGGCCUCGCGCGAUUAGAGCGGCCGAUAUCAGAUUAGGUAGUUGGUGGGGUAAAGGCCCACCAAGCCGACGAUCUGUAGCUGGUCUGAGAGGACGACCAGCCACACUGGGACUGAGACACGGCCCAGACUCCUACGGGAGGCAGCAGUGGGGAAUUUUGGACAAUGGGCGCAAGCCUGAUCCAGCAAUGCCGCGUGCAGGAUGAAGGCCUUCGGGUUGUAAACUGCUUUUGUACGGAGCGAAAAGGCUCUCUCUAAUAAAGGGGGCCCAGUGACGGUACCGUAAGAAUAAGCACCGGCUAACUACGUAGCCAGCA
rnacentral:rRNA from 1 species